CUACGGUUUUUCGUUCAUGAUGCUGAUUUAAUUUCCAUUAUCACCCGAACCAGUAUGGUAAUGAUUCAAACGGAGAAAGUCAGCGCAAUACCAAAGCCGCGCUUUCGAAACAAAACUACGUUCCUGCCCCCGGCCUUAGUUAAAAGAAGAGAACAAAAGAGUUCGGACGGUAAAUAUUCCCUGCUUUAGAAAAACAUCUCGGCAGAUUUGUGCUCUGAAGAAAAAAAAAAAAAAAUGGCCGUGAAGGAAGCCGACGCAACAGUCUUCCGGCAACAGUUUAUGGAAAAUCAGCUCAGCAUGAAUGCAGAAGUGGCAGAUACACAAUUGCUGGUGGUCCUCAUGACAUUGAGGCUCUGAUUUGGAUCCAAAAGAAGACACAUGAGAAAUAUAUUAUGUAGUUCUGCUCAUCUCUAAGGUGUUCUCAAAAAUGUAUUGCGGUGGGUCACUUAACUUGUAAUUGCACCAGUCUCCAAUUAAUGGAAUUGUUUUGUUUAUGAGUUUUUCCUUGUUUGUUACAUGCCUUACAUUCGAUCUUGUAAAAGCAUAGCUAAGACAGCACGCCAUUUUGUGCUAAUUAAUUUAAAACAUCCAAAACAAAUUUUCUAUUUUUAGGUGUUCUUACAACUUUCAAAACUAUCUUUAAGAAAAAGUUUCCCAGCGCCGAGCAAAGGUCUCACCAUGAAGAUUUGUUUUCUUUUUUUUUUUUUUUCAGAGGGCUCUCCAGGAAUGGGACAUUUUUCGACUUUCAAAAGUGUUUUCCUUUGUUAUGUCACCAUUUUUUUCUCUCUUCUUUUGAUUCUUCAUGUUGUUCAAAAACUUUUUUGAACCAAAUGAUUUUUUAAGGUUAUGCCACAUGAAAAAGCAUUCAUGUUUUUACGAAUGAUCUACC